AACGAACGCUGGCGGCAUGCCUAACACAUGCAAGUCGAACGAGACCUUCGGGUCUGAUGGCGCACGGGUGCGUAACGCGUGGGAACCUGCCCUUAGGUUCGGAAUAACUCCCCGAAAGGGGUGCUAAUACCGGAUAAUGUCUUCGGACCAAAGAUUUAUCGCCUUUGGAUGGGCCCGCGUUGGAUUAGCUAGUUGGUAGGGUAAAAGCCUACCAAGGCGACGAUACAUAGCUGGUCUGAGAGGAUGAUCAGCCACACUGGGACUGAGACACGGCCCAGACUCCUACGGGAGGCAGCAGUGGGGAAUAUUGGACAAUGGGCUAAAGCCUGAUCCAGCAAUGCCGCGUGAGUGAUGAAGGCCUUAGGGUUGUAAAGCUCUUUUACCCGGGAUGAUAAUGACGGUACCGGGAGAAUAAGCUCCGGCUAACUCCGUG
rnacentral:rRNA from 1 species